rnacentral:rRNA from 1 species
AUUGAACGCUGGCGGCAGGCCUAACACAUGCAAGUCGAACGGUAACAGGAAACAGCUUGCUGUUUCGCCGACGAGUGGCGGACGGGUGAGUAAUGUCUGGGAAACUGCCUGAUGGAGGGGGAUAACUACUGGAAACGGUAGCUAAUACCGCAUAACGUCGCAAGACCAAAGAGGGGGACCUUCGGGCCUCUUGCCAUCGGAUGUGCCCAGAUGGGAUUAGCUAGUAGGUGGGGUAACGGCUCACCUAGGCGACGAUCCCUAGCUGGCCUGAGAGGAUGACCAGCCACACUGGAACUGAGACACGGUCCAGACUCCUACGGGAGGCAGCAGUGGGGAAUAUUGCACAAUGGGCGCAAGCCUGAUGCAGCCAUGCCGCGUGUAUGAAGAAGGCCUUCGGGUUGUAAAGUACUUUCAGCGGGGAUGAAGGGAGUAAAGUUAAUACCUUUGCUCAUUGACGUUACCCGCAGAAGAAGCACCGGCUAACUCCGUG